rnacentral:rRNA from 1 species
GGGGAAUCAGAGUUCGAUUCUGGAGAGGGAGCCUGAGAAAUGGCUACCACAUUCAAGGAAGGCAGCAGGCAUGCAAAUUACCCACUCCCGACCCGAAGAGGUAGUGACGAAAAAUAACAAUACAGGACUCUUUUGAGGUCCUGUAAUUGGAAUGAGUCCACUUUAAAUCCUUUAAUGAGGAUCCAUUGGAGGGCAAAUCUAGUGCCAGCAGCCGCAGUAAUUCCAGCUCCAAUAGCGUAUAUUAAAGUUGCUGCAGUUAAAAAGCUCGUAGUUGGAUCUUGGGAGCGGGCGGGCGGUCUGCCACGAGGCGAGCCACCACCCAUCCCCGCCCCUUGCCUCUUGGCGCCCCCCUGAUGCUCUUAGCUGAGUGUCCUGCAGCCCGAAGCGUUUACUUUGAAAAAAUUAGAGUGUUCAAAGCAGGUCCGAGCCGCCUGGAUACCUCAGCUAGGAAUAAUGGAAUAGGACCGCGGUUCUAUUCUGUUGGUUUUCGGAACUGAGGCCAUGAUUAAGAGGGACGGGCGGGGGCAUUCGUAUUGCGCCGCUAGAGGUGAAAUUCUUGGGCCGGCGCAGUUCGGACCAGAGUGAAAGCAUUUGCCAAGAAUGUUUUCAUUAAUCAAGAACGAAAGUCGGAGGUUCGAAGAUGAUCAGAUACAGUCGUAGUUCCGACCAUAAACGAUGGCAACUGGCGAUGUGGCGGCGUUAUUCCCAUGACCCGCUGGGCAGCUUCCAAGAAACCAAAGUCUUUGGGUUUUUAGGUUCCGGGGGGAGUAUGGUUGCAAAGCUGAAACUUAAAGGAAUUGGUGGAAGGGACCAGCAGGAGUGGCACCUAUGGCUUAAUUUGACUCAACAUGGGAAAAAUCACCCGGCCGGACAUGGACAGGAUUGACAGAUUGAUAGCUCUUUCUCUGUUCCAUGGGUGGUGGUGCAUGGCCUUAGUUGGUGGAGUGAUUUGUCUGGUUAAUUCCGAUAACCAACGAGACUCUGGCAUGCUAACUAGUUACGCGACCCCUGAGCGUCGGCGUCCCCCAACUUCUUAGAGGGACAAGUGGCGUUCAGCCACCGGAAAUUGAGCAAUAACAGGUCUGUGAUGCCCUUAGAUGUACGGGGCUGCACGUGCACUACACUGACUGGCUCAGCGUGUGCCUACCCUAUGUGGCAGAGGCGGGUAACCUGUUGAACCCCAUUCGUGAUGGGGAUGGGGGAUUGCAAUUAUUCCCCAUGAAGGAGGAAUUUCCAGUAAGUGUGGGUCAUAAGCUUACCUGAAGUCCCUGCCCUAUGUACACACUGCCCGUCGCUACUACUGAUAGGAUGGUUUAGUGAGGCCCUUGGAUGGGCCCCGCCAGGUCAGCCCACUGCCCUGGCAGAGCACUGAGAAGACAGGCGAACUUGACUAUAUAGAGGAAGUAAAAGUCCUAACAAAGUUUCGGUAGGUGAACCUGCUGAGG